rnacentral:lncRNA from 1 species
GGUGCCGGGAGCGGGGCGAGGAGGAGGGUGGGUAUGAGGCGGUAGCGGACCGCGGAGUCGAGACCUACCCGAACGACGCGGGCGAGCGGGGCUUUGGACGCCGGUGGAGACGCAGGCGAGGGCUGCUGUAAAAUAUUACAGGCAUACUUUGGAGAUGUUAUGGGUUUGGUUCCACAUCACUGCAAUAAAAUGGAGCCUCGCUCUGUCGCCAAGACUGGAGUUCAGCGGCACGAUCUCGGCUCACUGCAAGCUCCACCUCCGAGGUUCACGCCAUUCUCCUGCCUCAGCCUCCCAAGUAGCUGGGACUACAGCAGGAAGAAGAUGAGCCUUAGGUCUGAACGCCGAGGAAUUCAUGUGGAUCCUGUGCAAGAAAGGAUGUGGUUACUGUGGCAACCCUACCUGGCAGGGUUUCUGCUCCAAGUGCUGGAGGGAAGAGUAGCACAAAGCCAGGCAGAAGCAGAUUCAGGAGUACUGGGAGCUGGUGGAACGACUCCAGCGGGAGGAAGAAGAGGCCUUUGCCAGCAGUCAGAGCAGCCAAGGGGCCCAAUCCCUCACAUUCUCCAAGUUUGAAGGAAAGAAAACCAACAAGAAGACCCGCAAGGUUACCACAGUGAAGAAAUCUUCAGUACGUCUUCCAGGGUCGGAUCAAAGAAGGAUAUUGAAAUGGAUUCCAGGCGUGUGCCUCGAGACAAGCUGGCCUGCAUCACCAAGUGCAGCAAGCACAUCUUCGAUGCCAUCAAGAUCACCUAGAACGAGCUGGCGUCAGCAGAUGACUUCCUCCCCACCCUCAUCUACAUUGUUUUGAAGGGCAACCCCCAUGCCUUCAGUCUAAUAUCCAGUAUAUCACGUGCUUCUGCAAUCCAAGCCGACUGAUGACUGGAGAGGAUGGCUACUAUUUCACCAAUCUGAGGCUGGGCACUCACUGCAGCUGGCUAAUGAUGACCAUGUGGACAUGCUUUCGGGCCUUCAGGAUCUUCUCCAGCCAGUGGAUGUC